rnacentral:rRNA from 1 species
ACGGCAGCACAGUAAGAGCUUGCUCUUAUGGGUGGCGAGUGGCGGACGGGUGAGGAAUACAUCGGAAUCUACCUUUUCGUGGGGGAUAACGUAGGGAAACUUACGCUAAUACCGCAUACGACCUUCGGGUGAAAGCAGGGGACCUUCGGGCCUUGCGCGGAUAGAUGAGCCGAUGUCGGAUUAGCUAGUUGGCGGGGUAAAGGCCCACCAAGGCGACGAUCCGUAGCUGGUCUGAGAGGAUGAUCAGCCACACUGGAACUGAGACACGGUCCAGACUCCUACGGGAGGCAGCAGUGGGGAAUAUUGGACAAUGGGCGCAAGCCUGAUCCAGCCAUACCGCGUGGGUGAAGAAGGCCUUCGGGUUGUAAAGCCCUUUUGUUGGGAAAGAAAAGCAGUCGGCUAAUACCCGGUUGUUCUGACGGUACCCAAAGAAUAAGCACCGGCUAACUUCGUGCCAGCAGCCGCGGUAAUACGAAGGGUGCAAGCGUUACUCGGAAUUACUGGGCGUAAAGCGUGCGUAGGUGGUUGUUUAAGUCUGUUGUGAAAGCCCUGGGCUCAACCUGGGAAUUGCAGUGGAUACUGGGCGACUAGAGUGUGGUAGAGGGUAGUGGAAUUCCCGGUGUAGCAGUGAAAUGCGUAGAGAUCGGGAGGAACAUCCAUGGCGAAGGCAGCUACCUGGACCAACACUGACACUGAGGCACGAAAGCGUGG